CUUGUAAGUCACUGAGGUGAUCUCAGGUCUAAGAGACACUUAUACCUAUAUCCCAUCAGAGACAUUCUCAACAGUAGAAUGCUCUGGAGUUGGUCACGUUCAAUGAUGAUGUACUCUUACAUCUCACCUGUAUGCCAUACCAGUGUCUCCACACUUCUUGGUUAAGAGGACAACCAAUCCAUAUGACCUACAGCGAUCUAUGCUCGAUAGAGGCUGUUGUCCUUAUUAACAGCCUAUCAUUUGAUCGUGAAUAAUUUUAAGGACUAAUCGAUAAAUCCUCUCUUUAUCGAACCUAAAUAGUUCUAAGAACUUCAUCACAACAACGAAGUUCAUUAGAAGAUGAAAACUUGUGAUGAAAAUACUAAAAAUAUAUUUUAUUUAUUAACAAAUUAAU
rnacentral:lncRNA from 1 species